rnacentral:rRNA from 1 species
AACGUAGGAGGCGAGCGUUAUCCGGAUUUACUGGGUGUAAAGCGCAUGCAGGCGGUUCGUUAAGUUGGGUGUGAAAGCUCCUGGCUCAACUGGGAGAGGUCGCUCAAGACUGGCGAACUAGAGGACGGUAAGGGGAAGCGGAAUUCCGGGUGUAGUGGUGAAAUGCGUAGAUAUCCGGAGGAACACCAGUGGCGAAGGCGGCUUUCUGGACCGCACCUGACGCUCAGAUGCGAAAGCUAGGGUAG